CCUACGGGUGGCAGCAGUGGGGAAUAUUGCGCAAUGGGCGAAAGCCUGACGCAGCGACGCCGCGUGAGGGAUGAAGGUCUUCGGAUCGUAAACCUCUGUCAGUAGGGAAGAACGGUCACUGUGCUAAUCAGCAGUGCAUUGACGGUACCUGCAAAGGACGCACCGGCUAACUCCGUGCCAGCAGCCGCGGUAAUACGGAGGGUGCGAGCGUUAAUCGGUAUUACUGGGCGUAAAGCGCUCGUAGGCGGUAUGUCAAGUCAAGGGUGAAAUCCCGGGGCUCAACGUGGGAACUGCCUUUGAAACUGGCAAACUGGAGUGUGUGAGAGGAUAGUGGAAUUCCAGGUGUAGGAGUGAAAUCCGUAGAUAUCUGGAGGAACAUCAGUGGCGAAGGCGACUAUCUGGCACAUAACUGACGCUGAGGAGCGAAAGCGUGGGUAGCAAACAGGAUUAGAUACCCUUGUAGUC
rnacentral:rRNA from 1 species